rnacentral:rRNA from 1 species
CGAUGUCGGCUCAUCACAUCCUGGGGCUGUAGUAGGUCCCAAGGGUUGGGCUGUUCGCCCAUUAAAGUGGUACGCGAGCUGGGUUCAGAACGUCGUGAGACAGUUCGGUCCCUAUCCGUCGCAGGCGUAGGAAAUUUGAGGAGACCUGUCCUUAGUACGAGAGGACCGGGAUGGACGUACCUCUGGUGUACCAGUUGUUCUGCCAAGGGCAUGGCUGGGUAGCUAUGUACGGAAUGGAUAAGCGCUGAAAGCAUCUAAGCGCGAAGCCAACUUCAAGAUAAGAUUUCCCACCGCAAGGGUAAGACCCCAGAAAGACUAUCUGGUUGAUAGGUCGAAGGUGUAAGUGCAGCAAUGUAUUUAGCUUAUCGAUACUAAUAGGUCGAGGACUUGACCAA